rnacentral:rRNA from 1 species
GAUGAACGCUGGCGGCGUGCCUAAUACAUGCAAGUCGAGCGAACAGACGAGGAGCUUGCUCCUCUGACGUUAGCGGCGGACGGGUGAGUAACACGUGGAUAACCUACCUAUAAGACUGGGAUAACUUCGGGAAACCGGAGCUAAUACCGGAUAAUAUAUUGAACCGCAUGGUUCAAUAGUGAAAGACGGUUUUGCUGUCACUUAUAGAUGGAUCCGCGCCGCAUUAGCUAGUUGGUAAGGUAACGGCUUACCAAGGCGACGAUGCGUAGCCGACCUGAGAGGGUGAUCCGCCACACUGGAAGUGAGACACGGUCCAGACUCCUACGGGAGGCAGCAGUAGGGACUCUUCCGCAAUGGGCGAAAGCCUGACGGAGCAAAGCCGCGUGAGUGAUGAAGGUCUUCGGAUCGUAAAACUCUGUUAUUAGGGAAGAACAAAUGUGUAAGUAACUAUGAACGUCUUGACGGUACCUAAUCAGAAAGCCACGGCUAACUACGUG